GAGGGAGAAAUCAGAGAUGACUUCCCAGGAGAAGUGACAGAUGCAGAGGGAUGAGUGGGAGUUCACCAGGAGCCGUGAGACUGAGAGGGAAAGGCAUUCGGGCAGAGGGAACAGUCUAUGCAAAGGUUUGGAGGCCAAAGAGCUGCUACUGAUGAAAGAGUGUGACAUUUGGGAUACCCUGAAAGUGACGAAACUUCCUCUCAUGCCCUGCUCCAAUCCACUCCAGUGCAGUCCCAUCCCGUCCCCUCCCAUGCUGAGGUAUCUUUUCAGAACGGCCAAGGGCAAGGCAUCGUGGAGGAUGCACAGAGCAGGAGGCACAGAGCAGGAGGCAUGCCUUCAGCCCUCAGAGCUCUGAGUCCAGCCAGGAGGCAGGCACAUAAAGCGAAGCAAGAGCAAAAGAUCUGAUUUGUGUUCAAGGCAUCACUCGAUGAUCCCUGAGCACACAUGCUGUGGAUUUGCACCCAACUCACUUGCUAAAGGACGAGCAGCAAAGCUCAUUAGUCGUGAUCUUGUCAUUCAUUCAUUCACCUGACGAAGGUGUAUUGGGCACUGACUUUCUGUGCCUGGCACAUUUUAGAUGUUUGGGAGAGAGCGGUAAACAGGUGAAGAAAAGAAAAAGAAAAUCCUGUGAUGCUGGAUCGAAUCAGCCCCACCCAGCGAGGCGAAGGCCGGGGGUCUGGCUGGCGUGUGUCGGUUCAUCGGGCCCUGGGAACAACGAUGCUUUGAAACGAUGAUGCCAACGUGGCUCUGGUUCCUGGAGGGUCUCAGGGGCUGGCUGGCCCUGGGGAGUCAGGGAGGAGACUGCUGAUACUUGGGGCAAUAAUGAUGGCAGCCAGCAUUUCUUGAGCACUUGCAGUAUGCGAGGCCCAGCUGGAGGCAAGGGUGUCAGCUCAGUUAAUCUCCACAACGGCCCUUGGAGAGGAGGGAUGUGAUUAACCCCUUUCACAGAUGAGGAAACAGGCCCAGAAUGGUGAAGUGUUUCGCUAUUUGUCGUAGAGCUGGUAGGAGAUGGAACCUGGAUUUCACUGCAGUCUCUUUACUGCACAGAUCGUGUCCGAAAAGCCCGGCCCUGGCAGGACACAGCAGAUUAUGUCGUGUUGGAAGUGUGCAACGCGGCUUCCACGCUCGCCUAGCCCCUUCUCCAUGUGGUCAGGCACGGGGAGCUGGAACUC
rnacentral:lncRNA from 1 species